rnacentral:rRNA from 1 species
UGGGGAAUUUUCCGCAAUGGGCGAAAGCCUGACGGAGCAAGACCGCGUGAGGGAGGAAGGCUUUUGGGUUGUAAACCUCUUUUCUCAGGGAAGAAGAAUGACGGUACCUGAGGAAUCAGCAUCGGCUAACUCCGUGCCAGCAGCCGCGGUAAUACGGAGGAUGCAAGCGUUAUCCGGAAUUAUUGGGCGUAAAGCGUCCGCAGGUGGCUCAUCAAGUCUGCGGUCAAAGACAGUAGCUCAACUACUGAAAGGCCGUGGAAACUGAAGAGCUAGAGUUCGGUAGGGGUAGAGGGAAUUCCCAGUGUAGCGGUGAAAUGCGUAGAGAUUGGGAAGAACACCAGUGGCGAAAGCGCUCUACUGGGCCGAAACUGACACUCAGGGACGAAAGCUAGGGGAGCGAAAGGGAUUAGAUACCCCCGUAGUCC